CAGGUAACUUUCUCGCAAGGAGCUGAAUUCUUUCACUAAAGGGUACAAGCCCGAGGGACGAGCUGCGCGGUGAUUGGCUGCGGGGUUCCCUCAGGUGAGCUGCCAUUGGCAGAGGCGCGCUCAGGGAUUGUGGGUCAAACGGAAGGACUAAGGAGAACUGAACUCGGGGAUCCCAAGCCAACCGGAAUCAAAUGCAACCGCACCGCCACAAGGCUUUUAAUACCCACAUUAAGAAGACGGUUUGACAGUGUCGGAAGAGUACGGGACUGAAGUGUACGUUGUGCUCAGAGGGGGAGAAAAACACAAAGAUCGCCGAGUCUGUUACGUAAUUGCAUUUUUAACAUACUUAUCCACAACAAACACUUUUCGUGUCCCGAUGUGUAACAGAUACGGUAGAUUACUAGAUUUACAAAUAGGUGAGCAUCCUUUCAUGACCUAGACGGAUAGGGAGUGGCAUGGUUUUGAUGGGGUGAAGAAAUUUGGUUGAACAGACCCUAAUAUGGCUCAGACACACCACUUCCAUCUUAACUCUGCAGCCUGGGAUUCCAGAGCUGCAAACCACUGAAUCCCUCCCAUAAACCUGUUGUCAUUUGACGUUUCCAGGCAAGCAUCAACAUUUACAUUGUAAUUCAAUAGAAGCAGCGAUUACAAAGGAAAUUUAUCCUUCCAGCUUAAUAUGGUUGCUACGGAAACAAUUCAGAAUGAAACUGACUUUUUUUGCAGUUUUGUUUCUCCUGGUUGGGAGCAACGAAUUUGCAAACGUGUAAUUUAUAACCACUACUUCCAACGAGUAUCUGUGGAAGUUCCGACAGUAAUCUAGCCCAUGCAUAUGAAUUGUAGAAAUAAAGAGGGCAUGGAAAGCUUAUCAUGAUUUAUUUCGAAUUAAUACUACAUUGACAGAGAUGAAACAACUUCUAUUUUAACCUGUAUGGAUCAUGUAUUUCCUGAAAAUUACAUUAUGAGACAAGG